CGCCAGACUCCUACGGGAGGCAGCAGUGAGGAAUAUUGGUCAAUGGCCGAGAGGCUGAACCAGCCAAGUCGCGUGAGGGAAGACGGCCCUACGGGUUGUAAACCUCUUUUGUCGGGGAGCAAAGCGAGUCACGUGUGACUCAUUGAGAGUACCCGAAGAAAAAGCAUCGGCUAACUCCGUGCCAGCAGCCGCGGUAAUACGGAGGAUGCGAGCGUUAUCCGGAUUUAUUGGGUUUAAAGGGUGCGCAGGCGGAGGUGCAAGUCGGCGGUCAAAUUGCGGGGCUCAACCUCGUCGAGCCGUUGAAACUGACGGUCUUGAGUGGGCGAGAAGUAUGCGGAAUGCGUGGUGUAGCGGUGAAAUGCAUAGAUAUCACGCAGAACUCCGAUUGCGAAGGCAGCAUACCGGCGCCCAACUGACGCUGAAGCACGAAAGCGUGGGUAUCGAACAGGAUUAGAUACCCCUGUAUA
rnacentral:rRNA from 1 species